rnacentral:rRNA from 1 species
GUGAGGAAUUUUGCGCAAUGGGCGAAAGCCUGACGCAGCGACGCCGCGUGGACGACGAAGGCCUUCGGGUCGUAAAGUCCUGUCGAGAGGGAAGAGCCGGACGGGGGCGAUAAACCUCCGUCUCCGACGGUACCUCUGGAGGAAGCCCCGGCUAACUCCGUGCCAGCAGCCGCGGUAAUACGGAGGGGGCCAGCGUUGUUCGGAAUUAUUGGGCGUAAAGGGCGCGUAGGCGGCCUGGUCAGUCGGGUGUGAAAUCCCUCGGCUCAACCGAGGAACUGCACCCGAAACUUCCAGGCUUGAGUCCGGGAGAGGAGAGUGGAAUUCCCAGUGUAGCGGUGAAAUGCGUAGAUAUUGGGAGGAACACCGGUGGCGAAGGCGGCUCUCUGGACCGGUACUGACGCUGAGGCGCGAAAGCCAGGGGAGCAAACAGGAUUAGAUACCCGAGUAGUCC